GAGGAUAUAGCUCAGUUGAUAGAGUAUUUGCCUUGCAUGCACAAGGCCCUUGGUUCAACCCCCAGCAUCACCA
rfam:Ictidomys tridecemlineatus contig085328, whole genome shotgun sequence.